rnacentral:rRNA from 1 species
CGGACCGCGUACGAGUACGAGAAAGGUUUUCGGAAUUGUAAAGUACGCUUUCGGGUGUGAAGAUAGGAUUGACGGUAACGACCACGAAGAAGACCCCGGGCAAACUUCGUAGCCCAGCGAGCCCGCGGUAAGUACGUAGGGGGCGAAGACGUUGUCCGGAAUUAUUGGGCGUAAAGCGACGCGCAGGCGGUUCUUUAAGUCUGAUGUGAAAGCCCACGGCUCAACCGUGGAGGGUCAGUUGGAAACUGGAGAACUGGAAUGCAGAAGAGGAGAGUGGAAUUCCACGUGUAGCCGGUGAAAUGGCGUAGAUAUGUGGAGGAACACCAGUGGCGAAGGCGGCUACUCUGGUCUGUUAUUGACGCUGAGGCGCGAAAGCGUGGGGAGCAAACAGGAUUAGAUACCCUGGUAGUCCCACGCCGUAAACGAUGAGUGCUAGGUGUUAGGGGUUUCGAUGGCCCUUAGUGCCGAAGCUAACGCCAUUAAGCACCUCCCGCCUGGGGAGUACGGCCGCAAGGCUGAAACUACAAAAGAAUUGACGGGGGCCCGCACAAGCGGUGGAGCU